CUACUAUUUAUGUGUCACUGCUUCCCCACAAGCCCCUUUCCCCUCUGAAUGCCCAAGGAGUGAAGAGCAAUUGCAUAGACCAAAAAACCUGUAUUUAUUGGAAACCUUCAGAAGUGGCACAAGGGGAAUUAUUUUUACCAGGCAUUAACACGGGCUGUGACAAGAGCACUUUGACAAAAUGGGGAGCUGUCAGUACCCGCGUCACCAAUCACCACAAACAGCAAGGUCCUCCAGACGUGCAGGACAGCUAGACAGUCACUGGACCUCAGCUGGGAAAAGGACAGGAAGGCAGUGGCGGUGAAAGAUCUGGACUGCAGGCAGGCCAAUUCAGCACCCGGACUCUUCUACGACGAAGCCAUGCUGUUGUAAUAGCUGCAGUAUGUGGUUUUGCAUUGUCCUGCUGAAAUACACAAGGCCUUCCCUGAAACAGGUGUCAUCUGGAGGGGAGCAUAUGUUGCUCUAAAACCUUUAUAUACCUUUCAGCAUUCAUAGUGCCUUCCAAAACAUGCAAGCUGCCCAUACCGUACGCACUUAUGCACCCCGAUACCAUCAGAGAUGCUGGCUUUUGAACUGAGCGCUUAUAACACGCUGGAAGGUCUCCCUCCUCUUCAGCCCGGAGGACACGGCGUCCGUGAUUUCCAGUCCAUUUUAAAUGAGCCUUGGCCCACAGGACAUGACGGCGCUUCUGGACCGUGUUCACAUAUGGCUUCCCUUUUGCAUGAUAGAGCUUUAGUUGGCAUCUGCAGAUGGCACGGCGGAUUGUGUUUACCGACAGUGGUUUCUGGAUGUAUUCGUGGGCCCAUCUAGUAAUAUCAUUGACACAAUCAUGCCGAUGAGUGAUGCAGGGCCAGAAGACCACGGGCAUCCAAUAAAGGUCUUCGGCCUUGUCCCUUAAGCACAUUUCUCCAGUUUCUCUGAAUCUUUUGAUGAUGUUUUAUACAGGAGAUGAUGAGAUUUGCAAAGCCUUUGCAAUUUGAUGUUGAGUAACAUUGUUUUUAAAGUAUUCCACAAUCUUUUUACGCACUCUUUCACAGCUCUGCCCAUCUUUACUUCUGAGAGACUCAUGUUACAGACCUGAUAUCAAUGAACACAAUUAGUUGCUAGAUGUUCUCCCAGCUGAAUUUCUUGCUUUUUCAGCCAUUUGUUGCCCCCGUGCCAAGUUUUUUGAGACCUGUAGCAGGCAUCAAAUUUGAUAUGCGCUCAUUUAGCGGAUAAAAGUGUACAUUUUCUCCGUUUAAAUAUUUGUUAUGUUAUCUAUGUUCUAUUGUGAAUAAAAUAUUGGCUCAUGUGA